rnacentral:tRNA from 1 species
GAGAAUAUAGCUCAGUGGUAGAGUGCAUACUUAGCAUGCACAAGGUCCUGGGUUCAAUCUCCAGUACAUUCA